GACGAACGCUGGCGGCGUGCUUAACACAUGCAAGUCGAACGGAAAGGCCUUUUCGGAGGUACUCGAGUGGCGAACGGGUGAGUAACACGUGGGUGAUCUGCCCUGCACUCUGGGAUAAGCCUGGGAAACUGGGUCUAUACCGGAUAGGACCGCACUUUAGUGUGUGUGGUGGAAAGUUUUUUCGGUGUAGGAUGAGCCCGCGGCCUAUCAGCUUGUUGGUGGGGUAAUGGCCUACCAAGGCGGCGACGGGUAGCCGGACUGAGAGGUUGGUCGGCCACAUUGGGACUGAGAUACGGCCCAGACUCCUACGGGAGGCAGCAGUGGGGAAUAUUGCACAAUGGGCGCAAGCCUGAUGCAGCGACGCCGCGUGGGGGAUGACGGCCUUCGGGUUGUAAACUCCUUUCGCCAGGGACGAAGCGUUUUGUGACGGUACCUGGAGAAGAAGCACCGGCUAACUACGUG
rnacentral:rRNA from 1 species